GUCCUCAAUGUGGGGUCCUUGAAGGGAUUCCAUGGGGUCCCCAACAAAAAGGGGAAUCAUUUAUUUUCACUAUAAUUUCAUCCAUAAGUAACACAAUGACAGGUUGUAUGACUAUUUUGCUCAUGGGUUUCAUUCACUUUCUGUAGUAAAACAUCUAAAAGCCAAAAUUCUAACAAUUUGUUUCAACUUUGG